UUACUUUUUUGGCCUUGUUUGCUCUCCAAAGUUUUCCUUUUUUUUCAUUUACUGAGCCCAAACCCCCAAAAACCGCCGAAAGAAAAACGUAAUCUUAAUCUUGACUGUCUCGAUAAAGAAAACCCUAAUCUUGGUUCUGGCCAUGUCUCAAUAUUUUUUCGUGGAUGCUUUUCAAGAAUUUUUUUUGGUCGAUUUUGGCGCUGGAUGGCCUGUAGGCAGGUGCUUCUCAGGGCUAGAAACUCAUAGUCCCUUCGGGCCCGAAAGGUCUAUUUUAUUAAAGAGGAUUUGUGGCAGGUAUGCUGUUCUACAUCAUUCUUAGAUGCAAGUUUCUUAAAUUCUAUUUGGUACCUGUCAUUAAUGAGCUUCAGUAGAAUUUUCUCCUCCAUUCACUGCACCAUUUUUCAGUUGAUAAGCCAGUGGGUAAACCAAUGUCCAACCCAUAUCUAGUCCAUUUUCAGCGUUUCAACACAGUAUCUUGUUUCUGGAAGUCUUAGUUUGGGUAGCUGUUGCUGUGGGGGACGGUCCAGAACUAUGGCCUCCUGUUACUCUUUACAAUAACCUUCAAGUGUAACCAUAUUACGUGCUCUUUGAGGAGAAAAUUAUUAUUAUUUAAGAAAAGUUAUUUUAGGUUUAGAAAUUCGAGACGUGUACUGUAAAUAGAGGGAUAUUUGAGUUGGUGCUGCAUUUUAACUCAUUUUGUGGAU